GAUGAACGCUAGCGGCAGGCCUAAUACAUGCAAGUCGAACGGUGUCUUCGGACAUAGUGGCGCACGGGUGCGUAACACGUAUGCAACCUACCUUACAUUGGGGGAUAGCCUUUCGAAAGGGAGAUUAAUACCGCAUAAGACAGUAGCUGGGCAUCCAGCAGCUGUUAAAGAUUUAUCGAUGUAAGCUGGGCAUGCGUCCAAUUAGCUAGUUGGUGAGGUAACGGCUCACCAAGGCAAUGAUUGGUAGGGGAACUGAGAGGUCAAUCCCCCACACGGGCACUGGGAUACGGGCCAGACUCCUACGGGAGGCGGCAGUAGGGAAUAUUGGGCAAUGGACGCAAGUCUGACCCAGCCAUGCCGCGUGCAGGAUGAAGGCGUUAUGCGUUGUAAACUGCUUUUAUACAGGAAGAAACGACUCUUGCGAGAGGCAUUGACGGUACUUUAUGAAUAAGCACCGGCUAACUCCGUGCCAGCCGCCGCCGUAACAC
rnacentral:rRNA from 1 species